rnacentral:rRNA from 1 species
GACGAACGCUGGCGGCGUGCCUAAUACAUGCAAGUCGAGCGAAGUUUUUCUGGUGCUUGCACCGGAAAAACUUAGCGGCGAACGGGUGAGUAACACGUAAAGAACCUGCCUCAUAGACUGGGACAACUAUUGGAAACGAUAGCUAAUACCGGAUAACAGCAUUAACUGCAUGGUUGAUGUUUAAAAGUUGGUUUUGCUAACACUAUGAGAUGGCUUUGCGGUGCAUUAGCUAGUUGGUGGGGUAAAGGCCUACCAAGGCGACGAUGCAUAGCCGACCUGAGGAGGGUGAUCGGCACAACUGGAACUAGGACAGGGCCCGAACCCUACGGGAGGCAGCAGUAGGGAAUCUUCCGCAAUGGGCGAAAGCCUGACGGAGCAACGCCGCGUGAGUGAAGAAGGAUUUCGGUUCGUAAAGCUCUGUUGUUAGGGAAGAAUGAUUGUGUAGUAACUAUACACAGUAGAGACGGUACCUAACCAGAAAGCCACGGCUAACUACGUG